GCUUCUAAAGGAUAACAGCUCAUCCGUUGGUCUUAGGAACCAAAAACUC
rnacentral:tRNA from 1 species